rnacentral:rRNA from 1 species
AUUGAACGCUAGCGGGAUGCCUUACACAUGCAAGUCGAACGGAGUGGCGAACGGGUGAGUAAUGUAUCGGAACGUGCCCAGUAGCGGGGGAUAACUACGCGAAAGCGUAGCUAAUAACGCAAACUAUUGGAGCGGCCGGGAUCGGAUUAGGUAGUUGGAGGGGUAACGGCUCACCAAGGCGACGAUCCGUAGCUGGUGUUAGCGGACGACCAGCCACACUGGGACUGAGCCACGGCCCAGACUCCUAUGGGAGGCAGCAAUGGGGAAUUUUGGACAAUGGGGGAAACCCUGAUCCAGCCCUCCCGCGUGUGCGAUGAAGUCCUUCGGGUUUUAAAGCACUUUUGGCAGGAAAGCGGUACCUGCAGAAUAAGGACCGGCUAACUACGUGCCAGCAGCCGCGGUAAUAC